UUACGGUCAUAUAAUAGUAAAACACCGGUUCCCGUACGGUCACUGAAGUUAAGCAAAAUGGAGCUUGGUCAAUACCUAGUUGGGUGAGCGCUUGGAAAUACCAGGUGUUGCAAGC